AAAAAUGGCUUCUGUUGUGAAUGGCACACAUACGGCACCUCAAUUGUUCUUCAUGUGGAAUUGACAUCAAGAGAUUUCGGAAGCAUAAUUUUUGUUGCUAGAGCAGCUUGUGAUUGUUAGUCCUGGCACAAAA
rnacentral:snRNA from 1 species